rnacentral:rRNA from 1 species
UUGAGCCUACGGGACGCAGCAGUGAGGAAUAUUGGUCAAUGGUCGGGAGACUGAACCAGCCAAGCCGCGUGAGGGAGGAAGGUACAGAGUAUCGUAAACCUCUUUUGUCAGGGAACAAAGACUGGGACGCGUCCCCGGAUGAGUGUACCUGAAGAAAAAGCAUCGGCUAACUCCGUGCCAGCAGCCGCGGUAAUACGGAGGAUGCGAGCGUUAUCCGGAUUUAUUGGGUUUAAAGGGUGCGCAGGCGGUCUGUUAAGUCAACGUUAAAAUUGCGGGGCUCAACCCCGUCGAGCCGUUGAAACUGG